rnacentral:lncRNA from 1 species
AAAAUCGGUGCACAUUGAAUAACGCGCAUAGCGGGUUAUUUUACAGUGUGCACCACAUUUUUUGUGUUAUUUUGAAUAGACAGAAAAAAAUAUUACAGUCAUUUCUUAUAAUUUAAUUCUAAAUUCCAUUUUAAACCGUAGAAAACCAUGAAUAAACGUUGAUGACGUCACGGUCACAUGACUAAAUUAUGUCUAUGGGCUCAUAACAAAAUAACGUGAGCCAAUCAGAAGACGUGUCACAUCUCAAAUUCAAUUAUU